AAAAAAUCGUUGAGAAAGAGUAGUAGGUCGGAAUGAUAUAUUGAUGAGCGAGUCGGGACAGUGAGAGCCGAUCAAUAUACGCCGGUUGAAUGGACUUUCGAGAGAUUCGCUGAAAGUAGUAAGCGAAUACGGGCUCUCCCGUUACAGAGAUAGGAUAUGGUAGUAUCCGAAGAGUGAGUAAACAACAAAAGCUAUCUUUUGUUGUUUACUAAAAGAGGUGGCACCGCGAUUAAACGUCCUCUUA
rnacentral:ncRNA from 1 species